rnacentral:ncRNA from 1 species
UUUCCGAAGAGCUGUCGACAAUCGCGUCAGUCGGCACACCGAAGGAGCAAGCGGCUGGUUUUGUUGAACCGACCGUGAAUCUCUCAGGUCCCGUGACGGAAGGG